ensembl:lncRNA
AGAGGGAAUGGAUUUAAGGACACACAGCAGGAGCUGGCUGAAUUUAUUUUAUUUUGACGGGGGUAGUUGGGGGAGGAAUAUCAUUUCUGAAAUGCACAAGGAAUGAAGGGAGAGGAUAUGGAUUGCUUAAACAGUUUUUGCAAGAGGAGCGGUGUCUUGUUCUGCAGGUUAGGCUUCUCAGUCCCUCUGGAGCUGCAUGAUGGAGGCAGUAAGCCAGAUAUCUAUUUCCCCUGGUGAGAGCCCCUGAUGGUUUUGACCGCUGAUAACUGAGAAAAUGUUUACAAAUGACAGUACUAGAAAGAAAACCAUGAAGAGCAACAUAAUGGAUGUCAAAAGUUAAGUUUUGUAGGAGCUUGAAAAUUCCUCAGAAAAAAAUGGUCAUGGAUAAGAAAAGAGAAGGAGAAAAUCAGCAGGCAAGAGACUGGUGGGAGUCCUUUGACACAUGAGGAGCCUAAACUAACAUUGUCGUCUGAGAGGACCUCCAGACAACUGUAUGAAUGGGGCUGAAGGAACAUGACAGGUCACGACUUCGGAGAAUGCAGAGAGGAGUGAAGAGCCAUUUGCCAAAGUACAAAAGAGGGAAUGUGAUUCCACAGGAUCUGUGCCAUAAAUAACCCUUAUGGCUCUUAUUCAAUUAGCGCUCCCUUUUCCAAGAGGACAAUCGAUGCUGCCAAACUGGAUGAAAUAUUUAGUUCAAGAUAUGCAGAUCCCUGAGAUCAAACAGAGUGUAAUGCUUAGUUAUGAAAUUCUUUCCCUCAAAUCUGCCAUUGAUCAGCUACUCCAGCCCCUCAUCUGAAGAGGAAUUCUGCAGGAUCUGCCUCCUAGGCAUGGGAACAUGACAAUAACUUUCCAGAAUGCUUGUGCCUACACCUUACAACAAACAGACAUGCCUUUGCCAAAAACAUCUCACUUCACAAGAUUGGAGCGGUGGCCCCUUUACUCAAGAAUGAGGUCAACUUCAUGCUGGAAUAAUGAACGUACCGACUUUUAAGAAACUCCUGUUCUUAUUGUGAGAAGAAAUUUCAUAGUUUCCUCUAUGGUCUUGUUUUGAAAAUUUUAAUGUUUAGACACUAAGUAGUUUAGAUUCUAAGCCUCUCUUGAAAUUCUUCUCUCUAUAUUUAUGUGGAAGACAGAAGACUGGCCACCCAAUGAUGUCUUGGAUGUGUAAAUAUGGUACGUUCCAUGAAAAACCAUGGAAACAAACUUUGUUACAUUAUAGUAAAGUCAUCAGCUGACCUUCAAAUAAGGAGGUUAUUCUGGAUUAACCAGGCGGGCCCAGUGUAAUCAAAGAGUUCUAAAAAGUGGAGGUGGGAGGCAGAGGCAGAGUCAGUGUUGGAGUGAUACAGUGUGAGAAAGACCCAACCUCCUUAAUAAGAGACUAUCAAGAAUGAUAUACACAAGCCUAUUUAGCAUAACUCAGCAAAAAAUUUUCCCGGAAAAAAAAAAAAA